rnacentral:rRNA from 1 species
UGGGGAAUAUUGCGCAAUGGGCGGAAGCCUGACGCAGCGACGCCGCGUGGGGGAUGACGGCCUUCGGGUUGUAAACCUCUUUCGCCAGGGACGAAGCGUGAGUGACGGUACCUGGAUAAGAAGCACCGGCCAACUACGUGCCAGCAGCCGCGGUAACACGUAGGGUGCGAGCGUUGUCCGGAAUUAUUGGGCGUAAAGAGCUCGUAGGCGGUCUGUCGCGUCGGUCGUGAAAACUUGGGGCUUAACCCUGAGCUUGCGGUCGAUACGGGCAUGACUGGAGUUCGGCAGGGGAGACUGGAAUUCCUGGUGUAGCGGUGAAAAUGCGCAGAUAUCAGGAGGAACACCGGUGGCGAAGGCGGGUCUCUGGGCCGAUACUGACGCUGAGGAGCGAAAGCGUGGGGAGCGAACAGGAUUAGAUACCCUGGUAGUCCACGCCGUAAACGGUGGGCGCUAGGUGUGGGGGCCCAUUCCACGGUCUCUGUGCCGCAGCUAACGCAUUAAGCGCCCCGCCUGGGGAGUACGGCCGCAAGGCUAAAACGUCAAUGAAUUGACGGGGUCAUAGCUGUUUCCU